rnacentral:rRNA from 1 species
UCGUGGGGGAUAACGCAGCGAAAGCUGUGCUAAUACCGCAUACGAUCUACGGAUGAAAGCAGGGGAUCGCAAGACCUUGCGCGAAUGGAGCGGCCGAUGGCAGAUUAGGUAGUUGGUGGGGUAAAGGCUCACCAAGCCAACGAUCUGUAGCUGGUCUGAGAGGACGACCAGCCACACUGGGACUGAGACACGGCCCAGACUCCUACGGGAGGCAGCAGUGGGGAAUUUUGGACAAUGGGCGCAAGCCUGAUCCAGCCAUGCCGCGUGCAGGAUGAAGGCCUUCGGGUUGUAAACUGCUUUUGUACGGAACGAAAAGUCUCUUUCUAAUAAAGAGGGAUCAUGACGGUACCGUAAGAAUAAGCACCGGCUAACUACGUGCCAGCAGCCGCGGUAAUACGUAGGGUGCAAGCGUUAAUCGGAAUUACUGGGCGUAAAGCGUGCGCAGGCGGUGAUGUAAGACAGUUGUGAAAUCCCCGGGCUCAACCUGGGAACUGCAUCUGUGACUGCAUCGCUGGAGUGCGGCAGAGGGGGAUGGAAUUCCGCGUGUAGCAGUGAAAUGCGUAGAUAUGCGGAGGAACACCGAUGGCGAAGGCAAUCCCCUGGGCCUGCACUGACGCUCAUGCACGAAAGCGUGUGGAGCAAACAGGAUUAGAUACUCUGGUAGUCCACGCCCUACACGAUGUCAACUGGUUGUUGAGGAUUCACUUCCUCAGUAACGAAGCUAACGCGUGAAGUUGACCGCCUGGGGAGUACGGCCGCAAGGUUGAAACUCAAAGGAAUUGACGGCGACCCGCACAAGCGGUGGAUGAUGUGGUUUAAUUCGAUGCAACGCGAAAAACCUUACGCACCUUUGACAUGUACGGAAUUUGCCAGAGAUGGCUUAGUGCUCGAAAGAUAACCGUAACACAGGUGCUGCAUGGCUGUCGUCACCUCGUGUCCUGAAAUGUUGGGUUAAGU